rnacentral:lncRNA from 1 species
UUGUUUUCACAUUCUAAACUGUACAAUUGAAGCCACAUUGGCAAAUUUCAAUUUACAUUACACAUUGAUAUAAUUGUCAUUUACAUAUAAAGAACUUAAAUGCAUACAAGCUCAAUUAUAACAGUUUAGUACUUAAAUAACCUUGAUCAAACUAACUCCUAACAGUCAAAAAAUGUACUGCACAAAUUCUUAAAUUAACUAUACAAACAAAUAUAAUCCAAAAAGGAAAUGGAGACUAUAUUUUGUGCUUACAUAAGGUGGGAUUGGCACUUGGAACAUUUAUACCCAGCCAGCGAGCUCGCCCUUCAGAAACUGAAUCCUUAAUGCUCAGAAUUAUACACAUAGCAUGCUUUGCAAAGUAGUUCUUGUCUUGCAACUAGGCUUACCAAUGUGGUUCCUAUUAAAUCAAUAUUUAUUGGAGCCCGAUUAUCACCAUUUUCAUUGGUUGGCUGCAAAGAACAGAAACAAAAAAUUCAAAUCAAAGGUAAAGCUAAACAAAUUAGCUUUUAAAGUAAAGAAAAAAACGCAGAGCCUCAAAAAAUCCAAGUAUCACCAUUUUCACUCAUUAGCUCAAUCUCGAUUUUAUAUUUACGGCACUCUAUUUAAGACAUAAAACCAGAAAACUUCUUCAUUUGUUUGGGGUUUGACCACACUCACAAGGGUAGGGAGAAAAUUGGGUUGCCGUUAAGCUAAAUAAUAAUGACAAUAAAAUAAAUAAAAAAUAAAAAAGAAGUGUAGCACUACAUACUUCUUUCCCGUCAAAAUACAGCCACUGGAAUACAACCCAAUUUAGCAUUUUGAAUAAAACCAUGCAAGUCUUAGGAUCAAUAGCCUGAAGAACAAAACAAUGGAUUAAAUAAAAAAAAUACCAUUAGCGCCAUAAAUUAUAAUCUGCUGCAAGAUUUAAAUUAUAAUCUAUUAAAUUAAAGUAUUAAUUAGAACUCAAACAAAUUUAUUUAAGGAAAAAAAACUAGAGUUGUUCAUACGGCAGCCAGGAAAAUUUAGAGAAUUUAAUUGAAAAAGAUAUUAAUGCUUUAUAAGUAAGAAGAUUUCGAAAUUAAUUAAGCCACGCAUGAACAAAAAUCUAAUCAAAUAGUCAAAGAAGAGAUUAUGUGAUAAUUGGCCAAACCCAUGUAACUUUGAAGUUGAUUAAAUAGUAUAAAAAUUCACCCAAAAUGAAUUUAACACAUACAUGAUAAUUAGGCAAAUAUCUGACACCUGUAAAUUUAUACAUGAAUUUGAAUAGAUUAAACAAAAAUAAGAGAAGAAAUCAGCCAUUACAGUUUAGAAUUUGCUAGGUAGUAUCAACUUUAAUACCCAAAAACAGAUUAUGGAACGAACAUACAAAUUUUUUUUUUCAAAUAAGAAUCGGAACUUGAAACAAGCAUGGCAAAAGAGACUAAUUUCAAUGACAUAAUACCUAAAUAAACAGAAUUUUAAUCAUGCGUGCAAGUUAAUUUAGAAAUGACUUAACAACAUCAACAUGCAUGCCAAUUUAAACAAGAAUUUUGAAGAAAAAUAAAGAAUAAAAUGAACUGAGAAAGAAGGCUUACAAAUUCAAAAAGCCAGAUAUUUAAUAUUUUGCUCUGAAAUUGAAUUCUCUCUCUUUAAAUCCAAAUCCUUCACCUAGCCUCUCUUGUCUUUCUCUUCUUUCUCCCUCUUCUCCUCUCUCACGUCCUGUUAUCCUCUUGUUUCCUUUCUUCCUUUUUCUGUUUUGUUCCUUUUGAAUCCGAACACUGGUUUUUGUUUCGUAAAUAAAUAAAGAAAUGCUAAAAUAUAAAGAGGUUCAUGGGCUGGACUUGUAACAAAAAUUUUACUAACAAUAUAAUAAGCAUAAGACAAUUAAAUCAUUAAUAAUUUAAAUUUUAUUUUUUUAACAAAUAAGUAAACUCCACUUAGUAAAAAUCAGGGCGUUUCAGUCCUCUUUUCUGUCAAUGUGAUUUUCUAUCCCCUUACCCAUAAUUCACUCUUUUUCCAAAUUCAUUAACCAAGAAAAUCAAGAAACAAAAGGCCAAAGUGCACGACAUAUUUUAUAAUAUUAUGAAAGGAAAAGGAGAGACUAAGGUACAAGCUACACAACACAAAAUCACCAAAUCGAUUAUAAAUGAAGAGGAAAUAAAUCCGACGAGCAAAUAUUUCAAAGCAAAUUAAGAGGAAAGAAUUGCAAAAUUGGAGAAAGCAACUCACAGUGGUGAAACAAUAACCCUGAAUUCAAAAUUUUAGAAUAUCAUUGGCAACAAUCUCACCAACAUUUUCAAGAUAGCACCCAGAAAAUUUGAACUGACUUGACAGCGGAGGCAGUGUCACCACAAUAACCCUGCAUCUGACGGUGAACGAACACAGAGGCAAUGUCGGCAGAGAUGACAGCAGCUGUUUUGCGGAAGUGAAUCGGCUCAAGAAUGGCAGAGAUUGACAGCGGCGGCAGAAAAAGGAAGCAAAUCGGCUCAAGGACAGCUAGACUCAGCGCUGGAGCACUUGAAUCGAUUUGACAGCGGCAGCGGCAUUGACGUUUGAUAGCUUAGGUAGGGUUAGGGCUGGUGUGUGUGACUGAGUGAGUCGUUGUGAUUGUAAUUCGUGAAAAUUGAAGAAGAAGAUAAGGAAUGUGAGUGGUUAGGGAUUGCGCGUUACCUUUAUUCCUUUUAUCGGCUUUUUUUUUUAAAUUUUUUAAGGCAAAUAACAUAUAACGACGGUUAUUAUAAAACGGUCAUGAA